CACUCACCCCGCGCCUCACUUUUGGCCCCUCCCGGCCGCCGUUGCCUCCAUAACUCCGCGACCGUGACCCGGAAGAACAUUCUCCUUAGCAACUGCGGGACCGCGGCGGCGCUUGCCUCCCAGGAGACACGCUAGUGACAACUGAGCUGAUCAAGGCCAGAAGAACUCUGAGCUAAGCAGUGGAGGCCCUCCUGGAUCUAGAGAGAAGAGGUGACCUUGGAACCAGUAAUGAGCCAUCCUGACUACCGGCUGAACCUCCGGCCCCUGGGGACCCCCAGAGGCACGUCCUCUUUGGCUGGCCCACGUGGUGUUGGUGCUUCACCAGGUGACAAAAAGUCAAAGAGCAAGACCAUACGAGGGAAGAAAAAAAGCAUAUUUGAAACCUACCUGUCCAAGGAGGACGUUUCAGAAGGCUUGAAGAGAGGAACACUUAUUCAGGGUGUAUUGAGAAUUAAUCCGAAGAAGUUUCACGAAGCCUUCAUUCCUUCCCCGGAUGGUGAUCGAGACAUUUUUAUUGAUGGGGUUGUUGCUCGUAAUAGAGCCUUGAAUGGGGACCUGGUGGUUGUGAAUCUGCUUCCAGAGGAGCAGUUGAAGGUAAUUAAACCAGAGAGCGAUGACAAAGAAACAGAAGGUGCCUAUGAAUCAGAUCUCCCCGAGGAGCUCUGUGGAAGCCAUCUCCUGCAACAGUCCCUGAAAGGCUAUAAUGACAGUCCUGAUGUCAUUAUAGAGGCUCAGUUUGAUGACAGCGACUCGGAAGAUGGACGUGGCAACACGCAGAAUGCUCUGGUUGACGGUGUUAAGAAACUCUCAGUUUGUGUUCAUGCAAAAGGAAAAGAAGAUGCUGGUGCACCAGUUACAAAAGACGAGAACACCUUCAUGUCACAGGACACAAGAGCUUUACCAGAGAAGUCGCUACAGAGAUCAGCAAAGGUGGUUUACAUCUUGGAAAAAAAACAUUCCCGUGCGGCGACUGGCUUCCUCAAACUCUUGGCCGAUAGGAACAGUGAACUGUUUAGGAAGUAUGCCCUGUUUUCUCCCUCGGACCACCGGGUGCCUAGAAUUUAUGUACCUCUCAAGGACUGUCCCCAGGACUUUGUGACCCGGCCUAAAGAUUAUGCCAACACGCUGUUCAUCUGCCGCAUUGUGGACUGGAAGGAAGACUGCAACUUUGCCCUGGGGCAGCUGGCUAAGAGUCUUGGGCAGGCUGGUGAAAUCGAGCCUGAAACAGAAGGGAUACUAACAGAGUAUGGAGUGGAUUUCUCUGAUUUCUCUUCAGAAGUUUUAGAAUGUCUCCCUCAAGGCCUGCCUUGGACAAUUCCACCAGAGGAAUUCAGCAAGAGAAGAGAUUUAAGAAAAGACUGUGUCUUCACCAUCGACCCAUCAACUGCCCGAGACCUCGAUGACGCCCUCUCCUGCAAGCCCGUCGCUGAUGGCAACUUUGAAGUGGGAGUUCACAUCGCUGACGUCAGUUACUUUGUUCCUGAGGGAUCCAGUCUGGAUAAAGUGGCUGCUGAGAGAGCUACAAGUGUCUACUUGGUUCAGAAGGUUGUCCCCAUGCUUCCCAGGCUGCUGUGUGAGGAACUGUGCAGCCUCAACCCCAUGACCGACAAGCUGACCUUCUCCGUGAUCUGGACGCUAACUCCGAAGGGCAAGAUCCUCAGUGAAUGGUUUGGCCAGACUAUCAUCCGCUCCUGCACCAAACUGAGCUAUGAACACGCCCAGAGCAUGAUUGAAGGCCCAACCAGGAAGAUCCCCGAGAAGGAGCUGCCCCCCGUCUCCCCGGAGCACACCAGUGAGGAAGUGCACCGGGCGGUUUUGAACCUGCACGGUAUCGCAAAGGAAUUACGUCAACAGCGGUUCGCGGGCGGCGCACUUCGUUUGGAUCAGCUAAAGCUUGUUUUUACUCUGGACCACGAGACAGGAUUGCCUCAAGGAUGUCACAUCUACGAGUACCGUGACAGCAACAAGCUCGUGGAAGAGUUCAUGCUCUUGGCCAACAUGGCUGUGGCCCGCAAGAUCCACUGCACCUUCCCCGAGCGAGCCCUGCUACGGCGGCACCCCCCACCCCAGACCAAGAUGCUCAAUGACCUGGUGGAAUUCUGUGACCAGAUGGGGCUGCCCAUGGACUUCAGCUCUGCAGGGGCCCUCCAUAAAAGUCUGAUGGAGACAUUCGGAGAUGACAAGUACUCACGGGCCCAGAAGGAGGUGCUCACCAACAUGUGCUCCCGGCCCAUGCAGAUGGCCUCGUACUUCUGCUCGGGGGUGCUGCAGGGCCAGGCACAGCUCCGCCACUACGCCCUCAACGUGCCGCUCUACACGCACUUCACCUCUCCCAUCCGCCGCUUCGCUGACGUCUUGGUGCAUCGCCUCCUGGCCGCCACGCUGGGCUACAGGGAGCUUCCAGACGUGGAGCCCGAUGCCCUGCAGAAGCAGGCUGACCACUGCAACGACCGCCGCAUGGCAUCCAAGCGCGUGCAGGAGCUCAGCGCCAGCCUCUUCUUUGCCAUCCUGGUCAAGGAGAGCGGCCCCCUGGAGUCGGAAGCCAUGGUGAUGGGCGUCCUGAGCCAAGCCUUCGACGUGCUGGUGCUGCGCUAUGGGGUACAGAAGCGCGUCUACUGUAACGCGCUGCCCCUGCGGUCAUACCGUUUCCAGAAGGUGGGCAAGAAGCCGGAGCUUACGCUUGUCUGGGAGCCUGAGGACGCAGAGCAGGAGCCAGCGCAGCAGCACCUUGACCAGCCUUCGGCCCGUCCAUCCUGCCACCCCCAAGACAUCCCAGAGGCCGCCAUUCCCUCUCUGCUCCUGCCCCAGAGCCUUCUAGAACCGGCUAUCUGGAAGGGCAGUGGUGAGGGUCCGGUGGUUUGGUAUUUGGAUGAAGAGGUUUCUGGGUGCUUCUGCAGCCAGGGCAGCCUGACAAUGCGAGCUCAAGGGCCAGACCUCCCAGCCCUGUCCUCAACCUCCCACCCUACCCACCCGCUGAGGGGGAACUGCCCCUCUCUCCUCGCGCUGUCCCCCAGGGCCUCCCGUGGAGCCUGGGAGCUGAGGGCAGAGCAGAGCCCCACGGAGGGGCGCCCUCUGGAUGGUGGUGGGUCCGCGUGCUGGGCCUUCUCUCGGGCAGCGUGGACGCAGGCUGGACCCCCUUGCUUACGGCCCCAGCGCCCCAGACCGCCCCAGACCAAUCGUAGCCAGCUUGGUCAGCAAGGAAGACUGUUGCCGCCUGGACUUGCUGGGGAAGCAGAGGCUGGCGUCGUCCUGAUGGCCCUAGAACUGAGGGACCCAUAGCAGCCCCAGCGCCUCCAGCCCACUUGACAGAAGGGGGAACCGUGCCCAGAAAGGAGCCCCUGAAGCACAGCCCAGCACCAAUCCUGCGACCUCGUCUUGGGACUUACAUCCAGACUUCUCUUCCGCCCGGACCCCACGGGAACCCGCCUACCGGCUUGACUUCCUGCUCCUCUCCCAAGGGCGCCAGACACUCUGGUCAGGGGAGGCCCCUGGGCCCCAGCCUGUAAAGUCCACACUCCUCCUCCUGACCGGCGCAGGAGACCUCAAUUCUUCCCCGGGACAGUGUCCAGGAGCAUGAACGGGUUGAGGCAUCCCGCGCCCUCCUAGACAGGAGGCCCUGUCCUGGUUGGGUCUGUGGGGGCUCAUCUGGGCCUCCAGGAUGCUUUACAUGCGGUCGCUGCUCAAGAGACUUUACACUGAAUCAAGUUGUCUCCAUUAAAGAACAAGCAGCCGCCGAGCUUCUGAUUUUUGUCUCUGAGACCCUCUCUGGCCAGCCUCUCUCAGAGAGCCCCAUCAGAGCCUCUGAGACCUCAGCCCUGCCUCCUGACCUCUUUCCAAGGCCGGUAUCAUGGGUUCUAUCUACUAACAGUUGCCUCUGGGGCCUCCUUUCUUCCAGCUUUGCCACCUCCCUCCAACCCCAGAUGCCAAAGCUGACGCUGACCCUUCUGCAGGUGGAGAGAUUCCCAGCAGGAGGGCGGGCAUGGGCCCUGGGGUCCCCGGAUGAACCCCGAUGUACGCCCUCCAGCUCUGCUGAGUCCAGAGCACAGCUCUGCAGACAUUUCCCCCGUGUGACCCUUGGGUGCCCUGGGGUUCGUGCCGUCUCUGGUUCCUUCCGCAGCCCCCCAGGACCGGCCCUUCCCGAGGCUGUUCUCCAGUCACUCCCAUCUGCCCCUCGGGAAGUGCAGAGCCAGGUUCUAAAAGCACACAAACCACAGCCACAAAGAAAGGCGGCUUCCCCUCCCCCAAUGCCAGUGCCUUCACCUUCCAUGUGACCUCUGAGAUGUCUGGGCACUGAC